rnacentral:rRNA from 1 species
UGAGGAAUAUUGGUCAAUGGGCGAGAGCCUGAACCAGCCAAGUCGCGUGAAGGAAGACAGUCCUAAGGAUUGUAAACUUCUUUUAUACGGGAAUAACGGGCGAUACGAGUAUUGCAUUGAAUGUACCGUAAGAAUAAGCAUCGGCUAACUCCGUGCCAGCAGCCGCGGUAAUACGGAGGAUGCGAGCGUUAUCCGGAUUUAUUGGGUUUAAAGGGUGCGUAGGUUGUUCGGUAAGACAGCGGUGAAACCUGAGCGCUCAACGUUCAGCCUGCCGUUGAAACUGCCGGGCUUGAGUUCAGUGGCGGCAGGCGGAAUUCGUGGUGUAGCGGUGAAAUGCAUAGAUAUCACGAGGAACUCCGAUUGCGAAGGCAGCUUGCCAUACUGCGACUGACACUGAAGCACGAAGGCGUGGGUAUCAAACAGG